rnacentral:rRNA from 1 species
UACGUAGGCAGCAAGGCGUUGUUCGGAAUUACUGGGCGUAAAAGGGUGUGUAGGCGGUUGUUUAAGUUUGGUGUGAAAUCUCCCGGCUCAACUGGGAGGGUGCGCCGAAUAACUGGAAUGACUUGGAGUGCGGGGAGAGGUGAGUGGAAUUCCGUGGAUGUAGCGGUGAAAUGCGUAGAUAUCAGGAGGAACACCGGGUGGUGUAGAUGGCUCACUGGACCGUAACUGACGGCUGAGACACGAAAGCCGUGGGUAGCAAACAGG